AGAAACAUGUCUGAUAAAAGAGUUACUUUGAUAGAGUAAACUAUAGGGGUUCAAAUCCCCUUGUUUCUA
rnacentral:tRNA from 1 species